AUUCAAAAAGGAAGGUGGUAUUUUUAACACCUCAUAUAUAGAUCACUUAAUAACACCAUGUACAAAACUCAAGGUGUAACGUUGAAUUAUGUUCUAUAGAGAUUUAUUGUGAAUAGUCAUGCUAAUACACCCCAUGAUAUGGCAUUGUUAUUAUUUUUACCAAAUCUGCACUGAUAUUUGCUUAGCUAGUUAACAUCACAGUUUCCUUUAUUGGAGCCUUGGAGUAGUCUAUGCACAUUGUACACCUGCACAAUUUGCCAACAAUAUGAGCCUCCCAAUUGCAUUCCUUGUUCUCAGGGCACAUAAGGAUUCGGUGGCAAUCUUCCUGACAACCACCAAACUUCUUUAGGUAUUUAAACGUACACCUUCGUUUUGUAUUCGCAUCUACAAAAUAUUACCAAUAAGAAGCAAUCCAAAUCAUGAAAAGAACAGUUUUGUUGAUUGGGUUGAUGCAACACUCUUGGAGGAACUGAUUAAACGUACUUAAUGCUAGCACGAGAAAGGCGAGUGUCAGGAGUAGCGUCAAAGCUGCAAUCUCCAUCCUAACUUGUAUGUGCCGUUGGUAGGAAAGUGACUGCUUGUGAGCCUUGAGGAAGAGAAAAUGAUAUGGCAACCAUUUUUAUAGUAGGUUUGAUAUUAAUGCUCAUUAUUGUAAUACGAAAAUAGCAUGAAAAGAAAGAUUGGAUAAGUUAUGUCGUAUUAAAAGCAAUUAAGUGGACUUCAGGAUAAGAUAUGUACAGACGCUUUGUAGCAGAGCAAAGAGACGAAAUUAAGAGAUUGCACAUUUGAGCAGACGUUUUCACAUGAAAAAGAUAGACAAAAGAAAAACAUCUAUCUAUACAGUUACUAAACUCCCUUGAAAUAAGGUCUCCUAGUGAAUCCAGGGUGUGAAAAGUGCAUGUGCCCUGGGUGACAGUGGGUGAGGCGUGGUGGUGGGAAGCUCGGUCCCUUGCGUGUCCAGUUUUCUUGUGUACAUGCGAAGUUCGCUUGCUGGUCCCUUGCAUGUUGCUUCAUCUAGCAAAGAAAGAAAAAGGUCGUUACCACACCCAGCUAAUAAAAGAAUCUCAAAGAGCAAAACUGAUUGAACAAAGAAAAUGUCAGGAAUAAAUUAGGAUGUGUCUAUUAUAUUCAUAACUAAAAUGUAUUAAUUAAUGAAUCAUCAUUCCUGUGACCAAUCCAAAGUAGUGAUGUCCCUUUUUCUUUUAACAUUUAUAACUGUCAUCUCUUGGAGGCAGCUUCUCCCUAUGUAUAGAUACCUUUUCUAUCAAUGGAAUUAGAGAGGGUAGCUCUCUCUCUCUCCCUCCCCUGACUAUUCUACUUGCAUUUUUCAGAUAUAUGAUCUUUUACUUUUAUUCAAAUUUACCUCCAUGGUCAAACUUCCCGAAAGGCCACCCAUCCUCACACUACUCCAGCCCAAGCACGCUUAACAUCAGAGUUCUAUCCAACCCCAGCACCAGCUCACUUCAGAGGCACUUGUUGAUAUAUCUAGCAUAUCAAUCCAAUUAAACCGUGUUGAUGUUUAGGACUUUGUUCAUGUUCAUGAGUGUGAUGAAAUUUUGAAAAAUUAUUUCAAACUUCCGUUCAUAUUACGUAUCAUAUUUCAAACAGUGCACCACUAGUAAGUUUGAUAUUUUUUGAAUUUUUUUGCCUCUAGAUCUUGAAAGCCCUGUAACUUUUUUUCUGUUAGGUUUUUCAGGAUUUUGAAAAUGUUUAACGGGGUUCCCCCCAGUAAGAUCGGAUGUAUUUUUAACGGGGUUCCCCCGUUAAGAUCGGAUUGGUAAUAUAUUCAAAAAGGAAGGUGGUAUUUUUAACACCUCAUAUAUAGAUCACUUAAUAACACCAUGUACAAAACUCAAGGUGUAACGUUGAAUUAUGUUCUAUAGAGAUUUAUUGUGAAUAGUCAUGCUAAUACACCCCAUGAUAUGGCAUUGUUAUUAUUUUUAGCAAAUCUGCACUGAUAUUUGCUUAGCUAGUUAACAUCACAGUUUCCUUUAUUGGAGCCUUGGAGUAGUCUAUGCACAUUGUACACCUGCACAAUUUGCCAACAAUAUGAGCCUCCCAAUUGCAUUCCUUGUUCUCAGGGCACAUAAGGAUUCAGUGGCAAUCUUCCUGACAACCACCAAACUUCUUUAGGUAUUUAAACGUACACCUUCGGUUUGUAUUCGCAUCUGCAAAAUAUUACCAAUAAGAAGAAAUCCAAAUCAAGAAAAGAACAGUUUUGUUGAUUGGGUUGAUGCAACACUCUUGGAGGAACCGAUUAAACGUACUUGAUGCUAGCACGAGAAAGGCGAGUGUCAGGAGUAGCGUCAAAGCUGCAAUCUUCAUCCUAACUUGUAUGUGCCGUUGGUAGGAAAGUGACUGCUUGUGAGCCUUGAGGAAGAGAAAAUGAUAUGGCAACCAUUUUUAUAGUAGGUUUGAUACUAAUUCUCAUUAUUGUAAUACAAAAAUAGCAUUAAAAGAAAGAUUGGAUAAGUUAUGUCAUAUUAAAAGCAAUUAAGAGGACUUCAGGAUAAGAUAUGUACAGACGCUUUGUAGCAGAGCAAGGAAACGAAAUUAAGAGAUUGCACAUUUGAGCAGACAUUUUCACAUGAUUAAGAUAGAUAAAAGAAAAACAUCUAUCUAUACAGUUACUAAGCGCCCUUGAAAUAAGGUCUCCUAGUGAAUCCAGGGUUUGAAAAGUGCAUGGGCCCUGGGUGAUAGUGGGUGAGGCGUGUUGGUUGGAAGCUCGGCCCCUUGCGUGUCCAGUUUUCUUGUGUACAUGCGCAGUUCACUUGCUGGUCCCUUGCAUGUUGGUUCAUCUAGCAAAGAAAGAAAAAGGCCGUUACCACACCCAGCUAAUAAAAGAAUCUCAAUGAGCAAAACUGAUUGGACAAAGAAAAUGUCAGGAAUAAAUUAGGAUGUGUCUAUUAUAUUAAUAACUAAAAUGUAUUAAUUAAUGAAUCAUCAUUCUUGUGAAUAAUGCAAAGUAGUGAUGUCCCUUUUUCUUUUAACAUUUAUAACUGCCAUCUCUUGGAGGCAGCUUCUCCCUAUGUAUAGAUACCUUUUCUAUCAAUGGAAUUAGAGAGGGUAGCUCUCUCUCUCCCUCCCCUCACUAUUCUACUUGCAUUUUUCAGAUAUAUGAUCUUUUACUUUUAUUCAAAUUUACCUCCGUGGUCAAACUUCCUGAAAGGUCACCCAUCCUCACACUACUCCAGCCCAAGCAUGCUUAACAUCAGAGUUCUAUCCAACCCCAGCACCAGCUCACUUCAGAGGCACUUGUUGAUAUAUCUAGCAUAUCAAUCCAAUUAAACCUUGUUGAUGUUUAGGACUUUGUUCAAGUUCAUGAGUGUGAUGAAAUUUUGAAAAAUUAUUUCAAACUUCCGUUCAUAUUACGUAUCAUAUUUCAAACGGUGCACCACUAGUAAGUUUGAUAUUUUUUGAAUUUUUUUGCCUCUAGAUCUUGAAAGCAAUGUAACUUUUUUUCUGUUAGGUUUUUGAGGAUUUUGAAAAUGUUUAACGGGGUUCCCCCCAUUAAGAUCGGAUGUAUUUUUAACGGGGUUCCCCCGUUAAGAUCGGAUUGGUAAUAUAUUCAAAAAGGAAGGUGGUAUUUUUAACACCUCAUAUAUAGAUCACUUAAUAACACCAUGUACAAAACUCAAGGUGUAACGUUGAAUUAUGUUCUAUAGAGAUUUAUUGUGAAUAGUCAUGCUAAUACACCCCAUGAUAUGGCAUUGUUAUUAUUUUUAGCAAAUCUGCACUGAUAUUUGCUUAGCUAGUUAACAUCACAGUUUCCUUUAUUGGAGCCUUGGAGUAGUCUAUGCACAUUGUACACCUGCACAAUUUUCCAACAAUAUGAGCCUCCAAAUUGCAUUCCUUGUUCUCAGGGCACAUAAGGAUUCGGUAGCAAUCUUCCUGACAACCACCAAACUUCUUUAGGUAUUUAAACGAACACCUUCGGUUUGUAUUCGCAUCUGCAAAAUAUUACCAAUAAGAAGCAAUCCAAAUCAUGAAAAGAACAGUUUUGUUGAUUGGGUUGAUGCAACACUCUUGGAGGAACCGAUUAAACGUACUUGAUGCUAGCACGAGAAAGGCGAGUGUCAGGAGUAGCGUCAAAGCUGCAAUCUUCAUCCUAACUUGUAUGUGGUGUUGGUAGGAAAGUGACUGCUUGUGAGCCUUGAGGAAGAGAAAAUGAUAUGGCAACCAUUUUUAUAGUAGGUUUGAUAUUAAUGCUCAUUAUUGUAAUACAAAAAUAGCAUGAAAAGAAAGAUUGGAUAAGUUAUGUCGUAUUAAAAGCAAUUAAGUGGACUUCAGGAUAAGAUAUGUACAGACGCUUUGUAGCAGAGCAAAGAGACGAAAUUAAGAGAUUGCACAUUUGAGCAGACGUUUUCACAUGAAAAAGAUAGAUAAAAGAAAAACAUCUAUCUAUACAGUUACUAAACUCCCUUGAAAUAAGGUCUCCUAGUGAAUCCAGGGUGUGAAAAGUGCAUGUGCCCUGGGUGACAGUGGGUGAGGCGUGGUGGUGGGAAGCUCGGUCCCUUGCGUGUCCAGUUUUCUUGUGUACAUGCGAAGUUCGCUUGCUGGUCCCUUGCAUGUUGCUUCAUCUAGCAAAGAAAGAAAAAGGCCGUUACCACACCCAGCUAAUAAAAGAAUCUCAAAGAGCAAAACUGAUUGAACAAAGAAAAUGUUAGGAAUAAAUGAGGAUGUGUCUAUUAUAUUGAUAACUAAAAUGUAUUAAUUAACGAAUCAUCAUUCUUGUGACCAAUCCAAAGUAGUGAUGUCCCUUUUUCUUUUAACAUUUAUAACUGCCAUUUCUUGGAGGCAGCUUCUCCCUAUGUAUAGAUACCUUUUCUAUCAAUGGAAUUAGAGAGGGUAGCUCUCUCUCUCCCUCACCUCGCUAUUUUAUUUGCAUUUUUCAGAUAUAUGUUCUUUUACUUUUAUUCAAAUUUACCUCCGUGGUCAAACUUCCCGAAAGGUCACCCAUCCUCACACUACUCCAGUGCAAGCACACUUAACUUUAGAGUUCUAUCCAACCCCAGCACCAGCUCACUUCACAGGCACUUGCUGAUAUAUCCAGCAUAUCAAUCCUAUUAAACCUUUUUGACGUUUAGGACUUUGUUCAUGUUCAUGAGUGUGAUGAAAUUUUGAAAAAUUAUUUCAAACUUUCGUUCAUAUUACGUAUCAUAUUUCAAACGGUGCACCACUAGUAAGUUUGAUAUUUUUUGAAUUUUUUUGCCUCUAGAUCUUGAAAGCAAUGUAACUUUUUUCUGUUAGAUUUUUGAGGAUUUUGAAAAUGUUUAACGGGGUUCCCCCCAUUAAGAUCGGAUGUAUUUUUAACGGGGUUCCCCCGUUAAGAUCGGAUUGGUAAUAUAUUCAAAAAGGAAGGUGGUAUAUUUAACACCUCAUAUAUACAUCACUUAAUAACACCAUGUACAAAACUCAAGGUGUAAUGUUGAAUUAUGUUCUAUAGAGAUUUAUUGUGAAUAGUCAUGCUAAUACACCCCAUGAUAUGGCAUUGUUAUUAUUUUUAGCAAAUCUGCACUGAUAUUUGCUUAGCUAGUUAACAUCACAGUUUCCUUUAUUGGAGCCUUGGAGUAGUCUAUGCACAUUGGACACCUGCACAAUUUGCCAACAAUAUGAGCCUCCAAAUUGCAUUCCUUGUUCUCAGGGCACAUAAGGAUUCGGUGGCAAUCUUCCUGACAACCACCAAACUUCUUUAGGUAUUUAAACGUACACCUUCGAUUUGUAUUCGCAUCUGCAAAAUAUUACCAAUAAGAAGCAAUCCAAAUCAUGAAAAGAACAGUUUUGUUGAUUGGGUUGAUGCAACACUCUUGGAGGAACCGAUUAAACGUACUUGAUGCUAGCACGAGAAAGGCGAGUGUCAGGAGUAGUGUCAAAGCUGCAAUCUUCAUCCUAACUUGUAUGUGGCGUUGGUAGGAAAGUGACUGCUUGUGAGCCUUGAGGAAGAGAAAAUGAUAUGGCAACCAUUUUUAUAGUAGGUUUGAUAUUAAUGCUCAUUAUUAUAAUACAAAAAUAGCAUGAAAAGAAAGAUUGGAUAAGUUAUGUCAUAUUAAAAGCAAUUAAGUGGACUUCAGGAUAAGAUAUGUACAGACGCUUUGUAGCAGAGAAAAGAGACGAAAUUAAGAGAUUGCACAUUUGAGCAGACGUUUUCACAUGAAAAAGAUAGAUAAAAGAAAAACAUCUAUCUAUACAGUUACUAAACUCCCUUGAAAUAAGGUCUCCUAGUGAAUCCAGGGUGUGAAAAGUGCAUGUGCCCUAGGUGACAGUGGGUGAGGCGUGGUGGUGGGAAGCUCGGUCCCUUGCGUGUCCAGUUUUCUUGUGUACAUGCGAAGUUCGCUUGCUGGUCCCUUGCAUGUUGCUUCAUCUAGCAAAGAAAGAAAAAGGCCGUUACCACACCCAGCUAAUAAAAGAAUCUCAAAGAGCAAAACUGAUUGAACAAAGAAAAUGUUAGGAAUAAAUGAGGAUGUGUCUAUUAUAUUGAUAACUAAAAUGUAUUAAUUAACGAAUCAUCAUUCUUGUGACCAAUCCAAAGUAGUGAUGUCCCUUUUUCUUUUAACAUUUAUAACUGCCAUUUCUUGGAGGCAGCUUCUCCCUAAGUAUAGAUACCUUUUCUAUCAAUGGAAUUAGAGAGGGUAGCUCUCUCUCUCCCUCCCCUCGCUAUUUUACUUGUGUCUAUUAUAUUGAUAACUAAAAUGUAUUAAUUAACGAAUCAUCAUUCUUGUGACCAAUCCAAAGUAGUGAUGUCCCUUUUUCUUUUAACAUUUAUAACUGCCAUUUCUUGGAGGCAGCUUCUCCCUAAGUAUAGAUACCUUUUCUAUCAAUGGAAUUAGGCAUUUUUCAGAUAUAUGUUCUUUUACUUUUAUUCAAAUUUACCUCUGUGGUCAAACUUCCCGAAAGGUCACCCAUCCUCACACUACUCCAGCGCAAGCACACUUAACUUUGGAGUUCUAUACAACCCCAGCACCAGCUCACUUCACAGGCACUUGCUGAUAUAUCCAGCAUAUCAAUCCUAUUAAACCUUUUUGACGUUUAGGACUUUCUUCAUGUUCAUGAGUGUGAUGAAAUUUUGAAAAAUUAUUUCAAACUUCCGUUCAUAUUACGUAUCAUAUUUCAAACGGUGCACCACUAGUAAGUUUGAAAUUUUUUGAAUUUUUUUGCCUCUAGAUCUUGAAAGCCCCGUAACUUUUUUCUGUUAGGUUUUUGAGGAUUUUGAAAAUGUUUAACGGGGUUCCCCCCGUUAAGAUCGGAUGUAUUUUUAACGGGGUUCCCCCCGUUAAGAUCGGAUGUAUUUUUAACGGGGUUCCCCCCGUUAAGAUCGGAUUGGUAAUAUAUUCAAAAAGGAAGGUGGUAUUUUUAACACCUCAUAUAUAGAUCACUUAAUAACACCAUGUACAAAACACAAGGUGUAACGAUGAAUUAUGUUCUAUAAAGAUUUAUUGUGAAUAGUCAUGCUAAUACACCCCAUGAUAUGGCAUUGUUAUUAUUUUUAGCAAAUCUGCACUGAUAUUUGCUUAGCUAGUUAACAUCACAGUUUCCUUUAUUGGAGCCUUGGAGUAGUCUAUGCACAUUGUACACCUGCACAAUUUGCCAACAAUAUGAGCCUCCAAAUUGCAUUCCUUGUUCUCAGGGCACAUAAGGAUUCAGUGGCAAUCUUCCUGACAACCACCAAACUUCUUCAGGUAUUUAAACGUACACCUUCAGUUUGUAUUCGCAUCUGCAAAAUAUUACCAACAAGAAGAAAUCCAAAUAAAGAAAAGAACAAUUUUGUUGAUUGGGUUGAUGCAACUCUCUUGGAGGAACCGAUUAAACGUACUUGAUGUGAGCACGGGAAAGGCGAGUGUCAGGAGUAGCGUCAAAGCUGCAAUCUUCAUCCUAACUUGUAUGUGGUGUUGGUAGGAAAGUGACUGCUUGUGAGCCUUGAGGAAGAGAAAAUGAUAUGGCAACCAUUUUGAUAGUAGGUUUGAUAUUAAUGCUCAUUAUUGUAAUACAAAAUAGCAUGAAAAGAAAGAUUGGAUAAGUUAUGUCGUAUUAAAAGCAAUUAAGUGGACUUCAGGAUAACAUAUGUACAGACGCUUUGUAGCAGAGCAAGGAAACGAAAUUAAGAGAUUGCACAUUUGAGCAGACGUUUUCACAUGAAAAAGAUAGAUAAAAGAAAAACAUCUAUCUAUACAGUUACUAAGGUCCCUUGAAAUAAGGUCUCCUAGUGAAUCCAGCGUUUGAAAAGUGCAUGGGCCUUGGGUGACAGUGGGUGAGGCAUGUUGGUUGGAAUCUCGGUCCCUUGUGUGUCCAGUUUUCUUGUGUACAUGCGCAGUUCGCCUGCUGGACCCUUGCAUGUUGGUUCAUCUAGCAAAGAAAGAAAAAGACCGUUACCACACCUAGCUAAUAAAAGAAUCUCAAUGAGCAAAACUGAUUGAACAAAGAAAAUGUUAGGAAUAAAUUAGGAUGUGUCUAUUAUAUUGAUAACUAAAAUGUAUUAAUUAACGAAUCAUCAUUCUUGUGACCAAUCCAAAGUAGUGAUGUCCCUUUUUCUUUUAACAUUUAUAACUGCCAUCUCUUGGAGGCAGCUUCUCCCUAUGUAUAGAUACCUUUUCUAUCAAUGGAAUUAGAGAGGGUAGCACUCUCUCCGUCCCCUCACUAUUUUACUUGCAUUUUUCAGAUAUAUGUUGUUUUACUUUUAUUCAAAUUUACCUCUGUGGUCAAACUUCCCGAAAGGUCACCCAUCCUCACAAUAUUCCAGCCCAAGCACACUUAACUUCAGAGUUCUAUCCAACCCCAGCACCAGCUCACUUCAGAGGCACUUGUUGAUAUAUCUAGCAUAUCAAUCCUAUUAAACCUUGUUGAUGUUUAGCACUUUGUCCAUGUUCAUGAGUGUGAUGAAAUUUUGAAAAAUUAUUUCAAACUUACGUUCAUAUUACGUAUCAUAUUUUGAAAAAAAUUCUCGAAAAAAAUUCGAAACUAAUUUUUUUGCUGUUACUAGUGGCGCACCUAGCAAACGGUGCGCCACUAGUAAGUUUGAAAAUUUUUGAAUUUUUUUGCCUCUAGAUCUUGAAAGCAUUGUAACUUUUUUCUGUUAGGUUUUUGAGGAUUUUGAAAAUGUUUAACGGAGUUCCCCCUGUUAAGAUCUGAUGUAUUUUUAACGGGGUUCCCCCCGUUAAGAUCGGAUGUAUUUUUAACGGGGUUCCCCCCGUUAAGAUCGGAUUGGUAAUAUAUUCAAAAAGCAAGGUGGUAUUUUUAACGCCUCAUAUAUGGAUCACUUAAUAACACCGUGUAUAAAACUCAAGGUGUAAUGUUGAAUUAUGUUCUAUAGAGAUUUAUUGUGAAUAGUCAUGCUAAUACACCCCAUGAUAUGGCAUUGUUAUUAUUUUGAGCAAACCUGCACUGAUAUUUUCUAGCUAGUUAACAUCAGAGUUUCCUUUAUUGGAGCCUUGGAGUAGUCUAUGCACAUUGUACACCUGCACAAUUUGCCAACAAUAUGAGCCUCCAAAUUGCAUUCCUUGUUCUCAGGGCACAUAAGGAUUCGGUGGCAAUCUUCCUGACAACCACCAAACUUCUUCAGGUAUUUAAACGUACACCUUCGGUUUGUAUUCGCAUCUGCAAAAUAUUACCAACAAGAAGAAAUCCAAAUCAUGAAAAUAACAGUUUUGUUGAUUGGGUUGAUGCAACACUCUUGGAGGAACCGAUUAAACAUACUUGAUCCUAGCAUGAGAAAGGCGAGUGUCAGGAGUAGCGUCAAAGCUGCAAUCAUCAUCCUAACUUGUAUGUGGCGUAUGUAGGAAAGUGACUGCUUGUGAGCCUUGAGGAAGAGAAUAUGAUAUGGCAACCAUUUUUAUAGUAGGUUUGAUAUUAAUGCUCAUUAUUGUAAUACAAAAAUAGCAUGAAAAGAAAGAUUGGAUAAGUUAUGUCGUAUUAAAAGCAAUUAAGUGGACUUCAGGAUAAGAUAUGUACAGACGCUUUGUAGCAGAGCAAGGAAACAAAAUUAGGAGAUUGCUCAUUUGAGCAGACGUUUUCACAUGAAAAAGAUGGAUAAAAGAAAAACAUCUAUCUAUACAGUUACUAAGCUCCCUUGAAAUAAGGUCUCCUAGUGAAUCCAGGGUGUGAAAAGUGCAUGGGCCCUGGGUGAUAGUGGGUGAGGCGUGUUGGUGGGCAGCUCGGUCCCUUGCGUGUCCAGAUUCCUUGUGUAUAUGCGCAGUUGACUUCUAUUACUAGUAGCGCACCUAGCAAACGGUGCACCACUAGUAAGUUUGAAAUUUUUUCAUUUUUUUGCUUUUAGAUCUUGAAAGCCCUGUAACUUUUUUUCUGUUAGGUUCUUGAGGAUUUUGAAAAUGUUUAACGAGGUUCCCCCCAUUAAGAUCGGAUGUAUUUUUAACGGGGUUCCCCCCGUUAAGAUCGGAUUGGUAAUAUAUUCAAAAAGGAAGGUGGUAUUUUUAACGCCUCAUAUAUAGAUCACUUAAUAACACCAUGUACAAAACUCAAGGUGUAAUGUUGAAUUAUGUUCUAUAAAGAUUUAUUCCGAAUAGUCAUGCUAAUACAACCCAUGAUAUGGCAUUGUUAUUAUUUUUAGCAAACUUGCACUGAUAUUUGCUUAGCUAGUUAACAUCAUAGUUUCCUUUAUUGGAGCCUUGGAGUAGUCUAUGCACAUUGUACACCUGCACAAUUUGCCAACAAUAUGAGCCUCCAAAUUGCAUUCCUUGUUCUCAGGGCACAUAAGGAUUCGGUGGCAAUCUUCCUGACAACCACAAAACUUCUUCAGGUAUUUAAACGUACACCUUCGGUUUGUAUCCGCAUCUGCAAAAUAUUACCAAGAAGAAGAAAUCCAAAUCAUGAAAAGAACAGUUUUGCUGAUUGGGUUGAUGAAACACUCUUGGAGGAACCGAUUAAACGUACUUGAUCCUAGCACGAGAUAGGCGAGUGUCAGGAGUAGCAUCAAAGCUGCAAUCUUCAUCCUAACUUGUUUGUGGCGUUGGUAGGAAAGUGACUGCUUGUGAGCCUUGAGGAAGGGAAAAUGAUAUGGCAACCAUUUUUAUAGUAGGUUUGAUAUUAAUGCUCAUUAUUGUAAUACAAAAAUAGCAUGAAAAGAAAGAUUGGAUAAGUUAUGUCGUAUUAAAAGCAAUUAAGUGGACUUCAGGAUAAGAUAUGUACAGACGCUUUGUAGCAGAGCAAGGAAACAAAAUUAAGAGAUUGCACAUUUGAGCAGACGUUUUCACAUGAAAAAGAUAGAUAAAAGAAAAACAUCUAUCUAUACAGUUACUAAGCUCCCUUGAAAUAAGGUCUCCUAGUGAAUCCAGGGUGUGAAAAGUGCAUGGGCCCUGGGUGACAGUGGGUGAGGCGUGUUGGUGGGCAGCUCGGUCCCUUGCGUGUCCAGUUUUAUUAUGUACAUGCGCAAUUCACUACUGUUACUAGUGGCGCACCUAGCAAACGGUGCGCCACUAGUAAGUUUGAAAUUUUUUGAAUAUAUUGGCCUCUAGAUCUUGAAAUCACUGUAACUUUUUUUCUGUUAGGUUUUUGAGGAUUUUGAAAAAAGUUAACGGGGUUCUCCCCAUUAAGAUCCGAUGUAUUUUUAACAGGAUUCCCCUCGUUAAGAUCGGAUUGGUAAUAUAUUAAAAAAGGAAGAUGGUAUUUUUAACGCCUCAUAUAUAGAUCACAUAAUAACACCAUGUACAAAACUCAACGUGUAACAUUGAAUUAUGUUCUAUAAAGAUUUAUUGCGAAUAGUCAUGCUAAUACACCCCAUGAUAUGGCAUUGCUAUUAUUUUUAACAAACCUGCACUGAUAUUUGCUUAGGUAGUUAACAUCACAGUUUCCUUUAUUGGAGCUUUUGACUAGUCUAUGCACAUUGUACACCUGCACAAUUUGCCAACAAUAUGAGCCUCCAAAUUGCAUUCCUUGUUCUCAGGGCACGUAAGGAUUCGGUGGAAAUCUUCCUGACAACCACCAAACUUCUUCAGCUAUUUAAACAUACACCUUUGGUAUGUAUCCGCAUCUGCAAAAUAUUACCAACAAGAAGAAAUCCAAAUCCUGAAGAGAACAGUUUUGUUGAUUGGGUUGAUGCAACACUCUUGGAGGAACCGAUUAAACGUACUUGAUGCUAGCACGAGAAAGGCGAGUGUCAGAAGUAGCGUCAAAGCUGCAAAAUUCAUCCUAACUUGUAUGUGACGUUGGUAGGAAAGUGACUGCGUGUGAGCCUUGAGGAAGAGAAAAUGAUAUGGCAGCAAUUUUUGUAGUAGGUUUAAUAUUAAUGCUCAUUAUUGUAAUACAAAAAUAGAACGAAAAGAAAGAUUGGAUAAGUUAUGUCGUAUUUAAAGCAAUUAAGUGGACUUCUGGAUAAGAUAUGUCCAGACGCUUUGUAGCAGAGCAAGGAAACGAAAUUAAGAGAUUGCACAUUUGAGCAGACGUUUUACAUGAAAAAGAUAGAUAAAAGAAAAACAUCUAUCUAUACAGUUACUAAGCUCCCUUGAAAUAAGGUCUCCUAGUGAAUCCAGGGUGUGAAAAGUGCAUGGGCCCUGGGUGACAGUGGGUGAGGCCUGUUGGUGGGCAGCUCGGUCCCUUGCGUGUCCAGUUUCCUUGUGUACAUGCUCAGUUCACUUCUGUUACUAGUAGCGCACCUAGCAGACGGUGCGCCACUAGUAAGUUUGAAAUUUUUUGAUUUUUUUUGCCUCUAGAUCUUGAAAGCCCUGUAACUUUUUUUCUCUUAGGUUUUUGAGGAUUUUGAAAUUGUUUAACGGGGUUCCCCCCGUUAAGAUCGGAUGUAUUUUUAACGGGGUUCCCCCCGUUAAGAUCGGAUUGGUAAUAUAUUCAAAAAGGAAGGUGGUAUUUUUAACGCCUCAUAUAUAGAUCACUUAAUAACACCAUGUACAAAACUCAAGGGGUAAUGUUGAAUUAUGUUCUAUAAAGAUUUAUUCCGAAUAAGCAUGCUAAUACACCCCAUGAUAUGGCAUUGUUAUUAUUUUUAGCAAACCUGCAAUGAUAUUUGCUUAGCUAGUUAACAUUAGAGUUUCCUUUAUUGGAGCCUUGGAGUAGUCUAUGCACAUUGUACACCUGCACAAUUUGCCAACAAUAUGAGCCUCCAAAUUGCAUUCCUUGUUCUCAGGGCACAUAAGGAUUCGGUGGCAAUCUUCCUGACAACCACCAAACUUCUUCAGGUAUUUAAACGUACACCUUCGGUUUGUAUCCGCAUCUACAAAAUAUUACCAACAAGAAGAAAUCCAAAUCAUGAAAAGAACAGUUUUGUUGAUUGGGUUGAUGCAACACUCUUGGAGGAACCGAUUAAACGUAUUUGAUGCUAGCACGAGAAAGGCGAGUGUCAGGAGUAGCGUCAAAGCUGCAA
rnacentral:lncRNA from 1 species